rnacentral:lncRNA from 1 species
UUGUUCUUGCUGACCACACAUCUGUUUAUACAGUACCAUGAUUGUUUCUUGAGCAAACAAAAGCAAAGACAGUGCAACGAAAACACAAAAAGUUUUAUCUUCUAGUAAGAACUAUGAGAAGUAUUUUCAGGAAAGAUUGACUCUGCAAUUCUGCCACAAAACUCAGUGAUGUGAUUAUGCCUCACCAACAAGCAAUGGAAAACUUUUAUGGGAAAAAGUGUGUAGUAUCAAUUUCCAACUUUUGGUCAACUGAACUGAAAAGAAUCAAUGGAUGUAUUUAUCUGAACAGGAUUUAAUUUGAAUGCGCAACUAGCCACAGAUUACAGCUCAAAAAAAGUGUAUGUACUUAAAAGGAAGCUUAUGUGAAUUUUUUUGAGCCUGGUGAACAUUAUGUGUGCUGUACAAUAUAUAAAAUAACAUCAUCAUUACAUAUUAGAAAUAAAAUGUGAGAAAUCAGAUGCCUAUUAAGACACAAAAAUUGAUGUAAAACUAUGAUAUUGGGUUUUGGAUAAUAGCCCAGAUGUUUCAGAAAAGGAAUUAAUGAGUUUUGACAUAUUUCCAGAUAAUUAAAAUUAGCCACUAUUUCCCCCAGGUUGUUGGGGUCCAAGCAUCCUUGUUGCCAUGGAUAAUGUAUUUUAUUCCUUAACAAAGUGGAGUCAGGUGGCUUGAAUCAAAAUAUGACCCAGAAAUUAUUAUGAAAAUGUCACAUAAGCAAGUUACUUUCUUUCUCCUAAUGAUCACACAUCUGAGUCUUUACUCAGAAUUAGGAUAUAAUGGCUCUUCCUCUCGCUUUUUGUAAACCUUGAAGGAUUUUAAAUAGUAAAUGUUUUGAAAAGUUGAAAUCCAGAAGUGAUUGGGCUUUAUGGCUUUAAUGAGGUGGUGAGUCCUGUGAAUCAGUUUAAGAUUACGUUUGGGCAAAUUAGCUUUGAGACAAAUUUUUAAAAUGUCCAUCACUGCUGCCAGGAUCGGCUGUUGCACUUGAAGGCCAAUACAUCUGGACUUAACAUUAGAUAUCAUGCAAAAUCGCAUGGUCCAGGCCUAAUUUAGGGCCAGUUAACUCAUUUUAUAGUGGAUGCCUUUCUUUAACCAGUGUGAACAUUCAGAGUCAUACCCUCUUUAUUUAGGGCCUUUGAUUCAUGUAUGUCUUGGUCUCUCCCCAUAAAGCUCUAUGCUUUGGAAGAACUCAUUUUUCAUAAAAAUUUAACCUUGAUUCUGGGAGUCUGCAUUUCUAUGCUUGAACUAUGAAGCCACCCACCCCAAAUCUGACCAUUUUCUUUUAGUUUCCUCUUGGCUCAUCCUACUGCAUGAUUUUUCUCCUGCUUCUCCUGUAGGAGCACCUCCCUGCUCCCUGAAUCCCCCAGGAAUGUACCUCUGGAGAGCUCCUGGUUCUCCACUUGGAAGCUGUGUUGGUAGGCUGUGACGGGGCAGGCAUUGCCUUGUAAAGGGCACUCCUGUCUACACGAUCUGUAGAGAAUGCAGAGCUCAGGGACGAUGUACAGCAGCAGGAAAACCCAUGCGUUGGUGACCAGAGCAAUGCAGACGACCGGGUCGUCCCACUGGGGCUGUCGCUGGAACUGCGGGUUGCCUCUCAGGAGCAUGGAGAUCCACACCACCCAGAUGAUGAUGGAGAAGAGCACAGUGAUAAAGAUGAGCCUUCCAUGCUGCUUCCAGUUCUCACACGGGCCACAGAAGGUGGCUUUGGAGACGAAGAAUGUGAGGGCCAUCAGGAAGAGGACAUAGACCAGGAGUACAACAAAGUCCACAUUGAGCUGGCAGGGUGUCAUAUUCACAAACAUCAUACCUCUGGUCAUGAUGAGAGUCACAUACUCAGUGGCAAUAAUGAUUUGCAACAGACUGCAACCAAUAGCAAUGCACAGAAUUGUCGUCCAGGAGAAGGAGACACAACCCCGAACCAGCUUCACUAGAUUGGAGGCAUGAGCUAAGAGGCAUGAGAAACAGAGAGCAAAGAGAACCCCAAAGAGAAAGUAGCGUACGGGGGCAGUUUGUUGAUUGAGCUCGAUGAUGAAGGCAAAAGCGAGUCCGAAGAGCCCCAGGACACUCAGGAGGAAGAGGAGCUGGGUGGGGAGGACAUUCCACUGGCUGCAGUCUUGGAUCUUUCGCAUGAGGAAGAGAAAUGCUAAGAGUAGCAGAAUUGUGACCACGAUGCCAAGUAUGGCCAGGGACUCCAGAAUGAUGCCCCAUGGCCCCUCGGCGUCACAGAGAAGAAAAUAGUCUCCAGUGGACUCGAUGCAGUCCUUGUACAUGGUGACUUAUGGGUGUGGACCUCACCAGAAUGGUUUUCUGAUGCCCUGCAGAAAAAGGAUGAGACAAAUUGACAACUCUGCAUCUCUUAGGUUGGUGCAAAAGUAAUUGUGCUUUUUGCUAUUAAAAGUAAUGGCAAGAAGGCUGGGUGCGGUGGCUCACUCCUGUUAUCCCAGCACUUUGGAAGGCUGAGGCGGGCCGAUCACUUGAGGUCAGCAGUUCAAGACCAGCCUAGCCAACAUGGUGAAACCCCAUCUCUACUAAAAAUACAAAGAUUAGCCGGGUGUGGUGGUGCACACUUGUAAUCUCAGCUACUCGGGAGGCUGAGGCAGGAGAAUCGCUUGAACCCAGGAGACAGAGUUUACAUUGAGCCGAGAUUGCCCCACUGUACUCCAGCCUGGGUGACAGAGUGAGACUCUGUCUCAAAAAGCAAAAAACAAGGCAGGGUACAGUGGCUCAUGCUUGUAAUCCUAGCACUUUAGGAGGCCAAGGUGGGUGGAUCACUUGAAGUCAGGAGUUCAAGACCAGCCUGGCCAACAUGGUGAAACCCCAUCUCUACUAAAAACACACAUAAAAAAUUAGCCGGGCAUGAUGGCAUGCGCUUAUAUUCCCAACUACUUGGGAGGCUGAGGCAGGAGAAUUGCUUGAACCCAGGAGGCAGAGGUUGCAGUGAGCCAAGAUCGCACCACUGCACUCCAGCCUGGGCGACAGAGUGAGACGCUGUCUGAAAACAAAAACCGAAAAACAAAAAACACACAAACAAAAAAAGUAACGUCAAGAACCGCAACUGCUUUCGCACCAACCUAAUACCUACAAGAAUGCCUAUUGGGUGGUCCAUGCUGGGCACUGUAAUUUCUCUCAUUCUGAAAUGAAGACACCUGGGCAUAUGAAAUAAAUGUCCUUACCAAAAUUGUUCCUAGGACACUGU